AGUCGAGGGGCAGCAUAAUGGAUAGCAAUAUCUAUGGUGGCGACCGGCGCACGGGUGCGUAACGCGUAUGCAACCUACCUUUAACAGGGGGAUAACACUGAGAAAUUGGUACUAAUACCCCAUAAUAUCAUAGAAGGCAUCUUUUAUGGUUGAAAAUUCCGAUGGUUAGAGAUGGGCAUGCGUUGUAUUAGCUAGUUGGUGGGGUAACGGCUCACCAAGGCGACGAUACAUAGGGGGACUGAGAGGUUAACCCCCCACACUGGUACUGAGACACGGACCAGACUCCUACGGGAGGCAGCAGUGAGGAAUAUUGGUCAAUGGACGCAAGUCUGAACCAGCCAUGCCGCGUGCAGGAUGACGGCUCUAUGAGUUGUAAACUGCUUUUGUACGAGGGUAAACGCAGAUACGUGUAUCUGUCUGAAAGUAUCGUACGAAUAAGGAUCGGCUAACUCCGUGCCAGCAGCCGCGGUAAUACGGAGGAUUCAAGCGUUAUCCGGAUUUAUUGGGUUUAAAGGGUGCGUAGGCGGUUUGAUAAGUUAGAGGUGAAAUUUCGGGGCUCAACCCUGAACGUGCCUCUAAUACUGUUGAGCUAGAGAGUAGUUGCGGUAGGCGGAAUGUAUGGUGUAGCGGUGAAAUGCUUAGAGAUCAUACAGAACACCGAUUGCGAAGGCAGCUUACCAAACUAUAUCUGACGUUGAGG
rnacentral:rRNA from 1 species